ACUUGGAUAGCUUAUAUUUAGAGCGUGACGUUGAAGAUGUCAAUGAGGUUUAGUUAUUGCCUUUAAGUA
rnacentral:tRNA from 1 species